rnacentral:siRNA from 1 species
UGCACUACUUGAGAUGAUGA